ensembl:lincRNA
AUGGCUCCAGAAAAAAAAAUGCUCAAAGCGAAAAUGAAGUGCAAUCACUGCCAGCACAGAAUGAAGCUGACAUAUAACUCAAACAAAGGAGACAAUUAUGUUUGGUCCUGUAUGAAAAAAGGACACAGGAGAAAAAUCAUGUCUGUGAGAUCUGGAUCACUGUUUGCAAAGUCAAAGUGCAAUUUAUUUUCUUGGAUGAAGUUCAUAUAUCGGUUUGCUCAACGCCUUCAACUGAGACAAAUUGACAUGAUUGAAGAUGGCAUUGCUGGAAGUUCAAGAACACUAAGCAGGAUGGCCCAAAAAGUCAGAGGAAUAUGCAGAUAUUCUAUGAAGCUGUAUGCCAGAAAAAAAGGCCAAAUGAUUGGACAUCCCAGAGAGUUUGUUAUGAUUGAUGAAAGCAACUUCCGCCACAAACGAAAGGUAAUUAAAAUACAGCUUAAAAUACAAGUCAUAUUGCAGAGAUAAGAAUAUGUAAUUGUGUGCAUAAAGUAUUAAAUAGACAUUACAAAGCAAUAAUUAGAAAAAUACUAUAUAAAAUAUAUCUAUUAUUCAAUUUUACAAAUGAUCAUGGUUUUAUCCAGAAGUUGCUUUUUGUUGUCUCGCCUAUACAUCUAUUUAUUGAUAGUUAUUGCUUUAAAACAUUAAAAAAUAAAAAAAAUAUUUUUUUUUAAUAAAACAUAAUAAUAAUAAUAAUAAAUACAUAUAUAAAUGUAAAAUUGCAGAAUUAUAAAGACCUAAACUUUUUUAAAUAAACUUGACCAGAAAAAAUUGCACAAACAGCAAGACAUGAGUGAGAUGAUUUUAUAUAUAUAUAUAUAUAUAUAUAUAUAUAUAUAUAUAUAUAUAUAUAUAUAUAUAUAUAUAUAUAUAUAUAGUGUGUCUGUGUGUGUUUGUAGAGCUUUCUCUUCUUCCUUGCUCCUGACAGGGAUGGAGGAAGGAAGUUGUAUCCACCUUGCAAUGCAUUUUCCACUUCUUUUAUCAGUGGUGUGGUAUGGACAUUUGUCCUCACUGGAUCUGUUAUUAAAAGAUAAACAUAAUUAGUAGUGAACAAGUACAAAUUUAAUAAAAAAAGAAACAUGCUUGCACACAUAAGUACAACCUUAAUAGGACUAUAUAUAGAUUUUUUUUUUUUUUUGUAUUGAAAUGUAUAUUUAAAACCAACUUACUGACUAGACUCCAACCAACUUACUCCUAAGGGGGAGUGCAAGAAAGGCCACUUUUUGGUUUGCCCCGCUCCAGUUAGGGUUAGGGCUCCAGUUAAUUUGUUUAGUCAAGGAGUUAGCCAAAAACACCAAUGAUUCCAAAAAUAGGCUUACCUACGAAGCAAAAACAAACAAAUAAAUAAAUAAACUAAAAACACUUUGAAAUAAGCAAGAGUUUGAACUUACCAGUUUCUUUAUUUGUUCGGGCUGCUCCUUUAGUUGAUUUUCAAGCUUUUCCAUAUCAAAUUGGAAAAAGGAAGGUCAAAUGUGUUUACAUCUGGAAUUUCAUCACGUCUGUUUUGGUUUUGCUGAUCUGUGAGAAUCAGGCCCAGUUGCUGCAUUAUGACGCCACAUGAUUUUAAAACCUCAGUCAGUCGUGCUAAAAAAGAAAAAUAACAAAUUAGUAUAAAUCAACCUGUAGCUUAUUCUCAUACAACUUGUGUAAAUACAACAGUGGGUUAGAUACUGCUGAUAUUUUCUAGUUGAUCUUUACUUUAUAGCUGCAUUAAACCUUAACAAAUUUAGUGAUGUCUUGAAUUCUUACAAAGACAUGACGAGUUGCAACAAGUUCUGUCUGGAUCUCCGACUGCACUAGAACAAGGACUGUAAAUGUUCAUAGGCAUACUGGAAUGUUCAGCAUCUGAGCAUCUUGAUGGUGGUCUUAAGAAUUCUGGUGGUAAUGGUACUUGUGGUGCUGCAUCGAUUUCUGAAAUUUUCAUAUCUGUUUUUUUUCAAGCCUCCUUGUUUUAAAUAUUUUUUCUUCAUCACUGUCACUAUAGUUGUGCCUUAUGUACCAUGAUCAGAUACAUUUACAAAACAAAACAUCAUUUUAGUAUAGUGCCAGGGCAAAACUCAAAGGUUGUAAUAGAUUAUAAACUAUUGAAAUAUUGUUGACAGUAUGCGUUCAAAAUAAUUGCAAACAAACCUGUUCUUUCUUUAGGUGUAUGACAGGCGAUCAUCGUCCUCAUCUGUAUGCCAGUCAGACAUCACAGUUGCUUGUGGAUGUUUCUAUAAUAAAACAUCAAAUUGUUGUUAAUCUCCCCCAAAGAAAAGUUAAAAUUUUGAAAUACUAUCAAAGUUAAUUAAUGGCUAUAAUACCUAUACUGUAAAUAAUCAGCACCCUGAAGGUUGCACAAGAAUUUAUUCAGAGAUUAAUGCACAUUGACAGCCUUAUGAAUCUUAGACAUAGAUUUGUAAGAUGGCUAAGCACGUGCAUCAUUUCAGCCAUGACUUGCAAAUACUGACCUCUUCUGUGCCAAGCUUGUUUGAUCUUGCUCAAGGAUCUUGUUGUGGAC